AGUGAACGCUGGCGGUAGGCCUAACACAUGCAAGUCGAACGGCAGCACAGUAAGAGCUUGCUCUUACGGGUGGCGAGUGGCGGACGGGUGAGGAAUACAUCGGAAUCUACUUUUUCGUGGGGGAUAACGUAGGGAAACUUACGCAAUACCGCAUACGACCUACGGGUGAAAGCAGGGGAUCUUCGGACCUUGCGCGAUUGAAUGAGCCGAUGUCGGAUUAGCUAGUUGGCGGGGUAAAGGCCCACCAAGGCGACGAUCCGUAGCUGGUCUGAGAGGAUGAUCAGCCACACUGGAACUGAGACACGGUCCAGACUCCUACGGGAGGCAGCAGUGGGGAAUAUUGGACAAUGGGCGCAAGCCUGAUCCAGCCAUACCGCGUGGGUGAAGAAGGCCUUCGGGUUGUAAAGCCCUUUUGUUGGGAAAGAAAAGCAGCAGGUUAAUACCCCGCUGUUCUGACGGUACCCAAAGAAUAAGCACCGGCUAACUUCGU
rnacentral:rRNA from 1 species